UUGACCUCGGAUCAGGUAGGAAUACCCGCUGAACUUAAGCAUAUCAAUAAGCGGAGGAAAAGAAACCAACAGGGAUUGCCUCAGUAACGGCGAGUGAAGCGGCAACAGCUCAAAUUUGAAAUCUGGCCUCACGGCCCGAGUUGUAAUUUGUAGAGGAUGUUUUGGGCACCGCGGCGGUGUAAAUUUCUUGGAACAGAAUGUCAGAGAGGGUGAGAAUCCCGUCUUGGACCGCCGUAGGACCCGUGUAAAACUCCUUCGACGAGUCGACUUGUUUGGGAAUGCAGGUCAAAAUGGGUGGUAAAUUUCAUCUAAAGCUAAAUAUUGGCCAGAGACCGAUAGCGCACAAGUAGAGUGAUCGAAAGAUGAAAAGCACUUUGAAAAGAGAGUUAAACAGUAUGUGAAAUUGUUGAAAGGGAAGCGCUGGCAACCAGACUCGCGCGCGGGGUUCCCCCUUCCGUCAGGCUGGGUCACUUCCCCGCGUCCGGGCCAUCAUCAGUUUUGGGGGCCGGUCAAAGGCCCCGGGAAUGUAUCCACCCCUCCGGGGGUGGACUUAUAGCCCGGGGCGUCAUGCGGCCUCCCGGGACUGAGGAACGCGCUUCGGCGAGGAUGAUGGCGUAAUGGUUGUCAGCGGCCCGUCUUGAAACACGGACCAAGGAGUCUAACAUCUAUGCGAGUGUUCGGGUGUCAAACCCCUGCGCGGAAUGAAAGUGAACGGAGGUAGGAAGGCCUGAGCCUGCACUAUCGACCGAUCCUGAUGUCUUCGGAUGGAUUUGAGUAAGAGCAUAGCUGUUGGGACCCGAAAGAUGGUGAACUAUACGUGAAUAGGGUGAAGCCAGAGGAAACUCUGGUGGAGGCUCGCAGCGGUUCUGACGUGCAAAUCGAUCGUCAAAUUUGCGUAUAGGGGCGAAAGACUAAUCGAACUGUCUGGUAGCUGGUCCCUGCCGAAGUUUCCCUCAGGAUAGCAGUAACGAUAUUCAGUUUUAUGAGGUAAAGCGAAUGAUUAGAGGCCUUGGGGUUGAAACAACCUUAACCUAUUCUCAAACUUUAAAUAUGUAAGAAGUCCUUGUUACUUAGUUGAACGUGGACAUUUGAAUGUACCGUUACUAGUGGGCCAUUUUUGGUAAGCAGAACUGGCGAUGCGGGAUGAACCGAACGCGAGGUUAAGGUGCCGGAAUGCACGCUCAUCAGACACCACAAAAGGUGUCAAUGCAUCUAGACAGCCGGACGGUGGCCAUGGAAGUCGGAAUCCGCUUAGGAGUGUGUAACAACUCACCGGCCGAAUGCAUUGGCCCUGAAAAUGGAUGGCGCUUAAGCGUGCUACCCAUACCUCGCCGUCAGGGUUGACAUGAUGCCCUGACGAGUAGGCAGGCGUGGGGGUCCGUGACGAAGCCUUGGGGGUAACCCCGGGUCGAACGGCCCCUAGUGCAGAUCUG
rnacentral:rRNA from 1 species